rnacentral:lncRNA from 1 species
AUUGGUUAGUUUUUGACCAGUAUUAAAGUAACCAACUGAUAAUGGUAUACUUAUUGCAAAGAUCUGUACUUUAUUUUUAGUUGAGCUAUUCAGACACGAGGCUUAACAAGUAUAUCCCGGAUGUGGACACAGGGAGCCCACAUCAUUACACUUAUAAAUACCCAUUCUUAUUGGUUGAUUUAACCAAUGAUGAAAUGGUUGAUAUUUUCACGGCAAGUCCAACAGGUCAAAAGAACCAAAAGAAAUUGGUUAAAAAACAUAUUUUUUGACUUAUUUCAAAUAAAUUUAGAUUAUUUCAUAAUCAUGAUUUGUUAGAUCAUAGUUCUUAGUCAGCGGUCGGAGGUGACUCUGUAAAGAAUACAUUGGAUGGAAACUCCAUUGGCUUCACAGGUUGAAUAAGUUCAUUGGUAAUUUUCAUGUUCAAAAACCAAAUGACUUAUCAUGAGAGAUGUUCUAAAUAUGAUGGCGUUUAGCGUUUUCCUGCUUUAUGUCAACAGUGAAGCAUUGUAAAUAUUCUCCUGAUUCGCUCUGAAAAGAAACUCGCGGNAAUUAUCGUGAAACUUGGACUUUUGAAAGUUGAUCUGUUUACCUUCUGCUGUACUAAUGUCAACAGGGAGCAUUUCUUGGGUUCUGAUUCGUCGUUCUUGUGAUUAACCAGGAAUCAAAACCACGAUAGCAAACAAUCUCGGUCUCUUUCUUUUCAANUCUCGGACGAGUUAACAGCAAGAGUUUAGGAAAUGUUUGUUUUCAAUAUAACCGUUUCUAAAUAGGUUAAAUCAAAUGCUAACUACAGAAGAUGUUCUAGAGUACUAGUUUCUUAGAGGAUCGAACCUCAAGUCUUCAGUGACGCAUCAAAACUAAGGAAACCAAGUUGACGGAGAGAACCUCGUUGGCUUCGAGAUGCUUGACAUCAACGAAAUGGCCCUCCAUGAUGAUUCCGGUUCUCAAGAUGCAAAAGAAGUUCAUUUGUGUAUGGCCUGAGCCAAGUCACAGACAAGGACCAAAUAAGCCUGCAAACUCCACUAAAAUCAAAACACCGAAGGAGUUCAAGUCAAGCGUUAAGGUGGCACAAGAGAACAUUUUAAGCUUGUCCAAGAUACCAUACUAUUAAAUGGUUUUCAAAUAUUUACCAUAUCAGAGACCUGGGCUGAUUUAUCUGUCAGCAAUGCAUGCCUCGAAAUCCCAGGUUAUCAAUUAUUCAGACAGGAUCGUGGACCACAGAAAUCCGGACGUGGGCUAUGCACUUGCGUACUGAACGAUCUCAAAGCAACUGUGUUUUGAAAGAUCUUACUAUGGUUUCUGAAGAUGGCUUUCAACAACAAUGGCUAAAAAUACAGUGCAGAAGUUUCAAAUCCUUUUUGGACCUAGCACAUCAAUCAACUGACUUNAAUCGCCUUAGCUAAAUGCCUGGUUGACUCAUCGCUGCUAAACCUCGACACUAUAUUACUUGGAGACUUAAAUUGAAAAUUAAGUCUAAAUUGUUGAAAGAUUUCAUCUUAACUUUUAACUUGUGUGAAAUGGUUGAAAAACCAACAGAGUGACUGAGGCUUCACAAUCUCUAAUUGAUGUAAUUAUGACUACAGAUACAUCUAUGGUGUGCGUCUGUGAUGUAUUAAUCAGUUUUAUCAGUGAUGAUGUUUUAUGAGUCCGGUGAGUCGUGAGUCGUGAGUCGUGAGUCGUGAGUCGUGAGUCGUGAGUCGUGAGUCGUGAGUCGAAUAAAAUAAAUUAUAAUAUCUCUUGUGAAAAUUAUCAAAAAUGGUACCGCUAUUGAAGUUAUAGCGGCAAUGGACUGCUUCUGUCUCUUCCAGUAUUUCAUGUGUCUAGCUUUAUUGUCUAGCCAACUGAACACUAACACAGUAAACCAAAAACAUCAGAUNAAANUAAUCCAGCCAAAAAUUUUAAUAUUAGAUUCUCUGCUGAUUUGCUGCAUGUAUUUUUAAACUUACCCUUGAACUGAAAUCCAUUUCUUACUAUUGAAUUGUUUCAAAACACCAACCAACUUAGACUUUUCGAAAUUUCGAAAUUUCGAACCAUCCACUGGACUUGUACUCCAACUCGACUCUAAUGUUGUUCAAAUUUGAACCGAUAAUCGAUAUUUCAUGCACCGAAAAUUGAACUACGAUAUCUCUACUACUAACAGGUAACCAAACUCAAUAGGUUUUGAGAUAAUACCUGUUUUUAUUAGAACAUCUCACUGCAAAGCUGCACGAAUACUCGCCGAUUGGUUUAUUUGCUUCAGUCUAUCCCCACACUUUAGCCCUGCUAUAGAUGGUGGCCACUGAAUCCUUCUAUACAAACGGUAGCGAUAUUCUAUCCCAGAUCGUUUGGUGGUAUUCCAACAACUAGAAUAUAAAAUAUNAUUAAUUUUCCUAUUUGACUCAUGACUCAGUGACUCAUGCGACUCAUUCGAACGUCUUUCUCGAUGGUGAUGAUUUCUGCAAUGAUCUUGCCUUGGUUCCAUUCCAUAUGGUUUCCUUUUUCGAUGAUUUUGAUGACCAAGUUGAUGCCUUUAACAUGUUGUUUACAGAUAUCUUAAAUCAGCAUGCUCCUGUGAAAAGGAUGAAACUAAAAGCCAGACCCAAUCCAUUUGUGACAGCUGAAAUUCGACAUUUGAUGAAUACUCGUGACCGGUGGCAUAAG